CCUGGCUCAGGAUGAACGCUAGCUACAGGCUUAACACAUGCAAGUCGAGGGGCAGCAUGGUCUUAGCUUGCUAAGGCCGAUGGCGACCGGCGCACGGGUGAGUAACACGUAUCCAACCUGCCGUCUACUCUUGGACAGUCUUCUGAAAGGAAGAUUAAUACAAGAUGGCAUCAUGAGUCCGCAUGUUCACAUGAUUAAAGGUAUUCCGGUAGACGAUGGGGAUGCGUUCCAUUAGAUAGUAGGCGGGGUAACGGCCCACCUAGUCUUCGAUGGAUAGGGGUUCUGAGAGGAAGGUCCCCCACAUUGGAACUGAGACACGGUCCAAACUCCUACGGGAGGCAGCAGUGAGGAAUAUUGGUCAAUGGGCGAGAGCCUGAACCAGCCAAGUAGCGUGAAGGAUGACUGCCCUAUGGGUUGUAAACUUCUUUUAUAAAGGAAUAAAGUCGGGUAUGGAUACCCGUUUGCAUGUACUUUAUGAAUAAGGAUCGGCUAACUCCGUGCCAGCAGCCGCGGUAAUACGGAGGAUCCGAGCGUUAUCCGGAUUUAUUGGGUUUAAAGGGAGCGUAGAUGGAUGUUUAAGUCAGUUGUGAAAGUUUGCGGCUCAACCGUAGAAUUGCAGUUGAUACUGGAUAUCUUGAGUGCAGUUGAGGCAGGCGGAAUUCGUGGUGUAGCGGUGAAAUGCUUAGAUAUCACGAAGAACUCCGAUUGCGAAGGCAGCCUGCUAAGCUGCAACUGACAUUGAGGCUCGAAAGUGUGGGUAUCAAACAGGAUUAGAUACCCUGGUAGUCCACACGGUAAACGAUGAAUACUCGCUGUUUGCGAUAUACUGCAAGCGGCCAAGCGAAAGCGUUAAGUAUUCCACCUGGGGAGUGCGCCGGCAACGGUGAAACUCAAAGGAAUUGACGGGGGCCCGCACAAGCGGAGGAACAUGUGGUUUAAUUCGAUGAUACGCGAGGAACCUUACCCGGGCUUAAAUUGCAGAUGAAUUACGGUGAAAGCCGUAAGCCGCAAGGCAUCUGUGAAGGUGCUGCAUGGUUGUCGUCAGCUCGUGCCGUGAGGUGUCGGCUUAAGUGCCAUAACGAGCGCAACCCUUGUUGUCAGUUACUAACAGGUUCCGCUGAGGACUCUGACAAGACUGCCAUCGUAAGAUGUGAGGAAGGUGGGGAUGACGUCAAAUCAGCACGGCCCUUACGUCCGGGGCUACACACGUGUUACAAUGGGGGGUACAGAGGGCCGCUACCACGCGAGUGGAUGCCAAUCCCCAAAACCUCUCUCAGUUCGGACUGGAGUCUGCAACCCGACUCCACGAAGCUGGAUUCGCUAGUAAUCGCGCAUCAGCCACGGCGCGGUGAAUACGUUCCCGGGCCUUGUACACACCGCC
rnacentral:rRNA from 1 species